AGGCUUCCCAGAUCAAAGCCAAGAGAUAGAUGGCAGUGGAUGUGAACUUCAGCACACAUGUGGGUGGAGACAUACAGGGGAGAAGGUCAAAGGGAAAGAGACUGGACUGGAGGACAGGAGACUGGGGUGUCCGACUCUUUGUGACUCCAUGAACCACAGCACACCAGGCCACCCUGUCCAUCACCAACUCCUGGAGUCUGCCCAAACCCAUGUCCAUUGAGUCGGUGAUGCCAUCCAACCAUCUCAUCCUCUGUCGUCCCCUUCUUCUCCUGCCUGGUUUCUCAGAUGUUGCUUGUUUUUGAUGAUCCUGACAGUUUUGAGGGGGACUGGUGAUAUUUUGUUGGGUGCCCCCCCACACACACACAUACAUUGAGAUUUGGCUGAUAUUUUUUUCAUGAUUGGACUGGAGUUAUGGGUUUGAGGAGGAAGACCAUGAUAAUAAAGUGCUAUUUUCAUGA